GCAGGUGUAACUCAAUGGUAGAGUGCUUGCUUCCCAAGCAAGACACGGGGGUUCGAUUCCCCUCAUCUGCUCCA
rnacentral:tRNA from 1 species